rnacentral:lncRNA from 1 species
GGCUAAGGGUCUUGACCAGUGGGGCACUGAAGAAGCGAGCCACACCUCCAUCGUACGCCCUGCGAGGAGGGGUCUCACUCAGUGACCCAGGCUGAAUGCAGUGGAACAAUCAUGGCUUACUGUAGCCUUGACCUUGAGGGCUUAAGCAAUCCUGCCACCUCAGCCUGCCUAGUACUGGGACUACAGAAACAUCAAAUAUAUUCAGCUCCCGUCUCUCUUCAACCAUGUAAAAUUAUUUCAACAACUAUCAGCUAUUGAAGGUGAAACUGGCAUGUCUGUUUGUUCUUCUCUUCCUGGUGUCAAAGACUCUUAAAGCAUGCAUAUAAAAUAUGAAAGUAAAUAAAACGUAAUCAAAAAUACUAACAUUCAAACAUUUACAUAUCAUUGUUCCUACUAUCCCUUUUUUCUCUGGAUCUCUAAUAGAAAUAACAGUUGGUGUCCAUCAAGUGUUAAGUGAAUAAAUAAAAAAUUACCAAAUUUUUAUAUUUGGUAUAUCUUAUAUUUCUAUAUCUAUACAAAGAAACCUUAUUUGGUAAUAAAAAGAUAUGAAGUAUUGAUAUGCUGAGUCAAAGAUUCCAGUCCAUUAUUACAGUACUGCAUUACUAUAAAACAUCUUGAGUAUGCAAAUCUAUAAAGAAGGAAGUAGGUUAGUGGUUGCUUGUGGCAGGACAGGAGGGGGAUAUGGCAUAAUAGCCAAAUGGUACAGCAUUUAUUCUUGAAAUGAUGAAAAUUUUCUAAAAUUGACCAUUGUGAUGGAUGCCCAUACGUGUGAAUAUGCUAAACACCAUUAAAUUCUAAUUAAGUGAAUUGUAUGUUUUGUGAAUUAUAUCCCAAGAAUACUUUUUAAAAAUGAAGAUUAGAUUAUAUCAUACUUUACCAAAAACGUUUGUAAGAAGCAAUCACGUCUUCUCAGGAAGACGGAUUCCUUGAAAGUAUGAGAACAUGGAGGAGCUUAUUUUCUCUGAUGGACAAUUUCACAUAGUCCCUGUUUGUAUUUGGACAAAAAAUUGACAA